GACGAACGCUGGCGGCGUGCUUAACACAUGCAAGUCGAACGGAAAGGCCCUGCAUUUGUGGGGUGCUCGAGUGGCGAACGGGUGAGUAACACGUGAGUAACCUGCCCUUGACUUUGGGAUAACUUCAGGAAACUGGGGCUAAUACCGGAUAGGAGCUCCUGCUGCAUGGUGGGGGUUGGAAAGUUUCGGCGGUUGGGGAUGGACUCGCGGCUUAUCAGCUUGUUGGUGGGGUAGUGGCUUACCAAGGCUUUGACGGGUAGCCGGCCUGAGAGGGUGACCGGCCACAUUGGGACUAAGAUACGGCCCAGACUCCUACGGGAGGCAGCAGUGGGGAAUAUUGCACAAUGGGCGGAAGCCUGAUGCAGCAACGCCGCGUGCGGGAUGACGGCCUUCGGGUUGUAAACCGCUUUCGCCUGUGACGAAGCGUGAGUGACGGUAAUGGGUAAAGAAGCACCGGCUAACUACGUG
rnacentral:rRNA from 1 species